AUUGCAGAAUUCAGUGGAAUCAUCGAAUCUUUGAACGCACMUUGCGCCCCUUGGGUAUUCCSAGGGGCAUGCCUGGUUCGAGCGUCAUU
rnacentral:rRNA from 1 species